GCGCCCGUAGCUCAGCUGGAUAGAGCGCUGCCUCCGAGGCAGAGGUCUCAGGUUCGAAUCCCGUCGGGCGUACCA
rnacentral:tRNA from 1 species